UGGGGAAUAUUGNACAAUGGACCAAAAGUCUGAUCCAGCAAUUCUGUGUGCACGAUGACGUUUUUCGGAAUGUAAAGUGCUUUCAGUUGGGAAGAAAAAAAUGACGGUACCAACAGAAGAAGUGACGGCUAAAUACGUGCCAGCAGCCGCGGUAAUACGUAUGUCACAAGCGUUAUCCGGAUUUAUUGGGCGUAAAGCGCGUCUAGGUGGUUAUGUAAGUCUGAUGUGAAAAUGCAGGGCUCAACUCUGUAUUGCGUUGGAAACUGCAUGACUAGAGUACUGGAGAGGUAAGCGGAACUACAAGUGUAGAGGUGAAAUUCGUAGAUAUUUGUAGGAAUGCCGAUGGGGAAGCCAGCUUACUGGACAGAUACUGACGCUAAAGCGCGAAAGCGUGGGUAGCAAACAGGAUUAGAUACCCUGGUAGUCCACGCCGUAAACGAUGAUUACUAGGUGUUGGGGGUCGAACCUCAGCGCCCAAGCUAACGCGAUAAGUAAUCCGCCUGGGGAGUACGUACGCAAGUAUG
rnacentral:rRNA from 1 species